GCUGGGUGCCGUGGCGCACGCCUGUAAUCCCAGUGGCUCAGGAGGCUGAGGCAGGAGGAUCGCAAAUUCGAAGUCAGCCUCAGCAAAAGAGAGGCAUUAAGCAACUUAGUGAGAUCCUGUCUCUA
rnacentral:sRNA from 1 species